GCCGCGCGGUCCCUCCGGGCCGGGCCCGGUGCCUCCCGAACUCCCGGGGGAGGCCGGGCCUGCCCCGGCAGCUGCAGCCGUGCGAUGGAGCCCCGGUGCCUUCCGAACUCCCGGGGGAGGCCGGGCCUGCCCCGGCAGCUGCGGCUGUACGAUGGAGCCCCGGUGCCUUCCGAACUCCCGGGGGAGGCCGGGCCUGCCCCGGCAGCUGCGGCUGUACGAUGGAGCCCCGGCGCAGGAUGAAGGGUCCUGUGCCUUGAGCGUGUCCCCGCGGACAGGCUGCGGGACAGAACAGGAGCCUUUGGCACAGGCCACGGCUCAGACCGUGCGUUACCGGGGGAGGUUUCCUGUAGAUCGUUGCCACCCCUCCUCAGGCUGGCCUCACGCAGGGCACUGCCCCGCUCGCUCCAGCUUCCUGCAGGCCUGCUCCGUUUUGCUCACACUUUGGGCGGUGUCCAGCACUGCUGCCCCCACUGAGACCUCUUAGGGAAGCCUCCUGUAGGUGCAGUGGAGAGGCACGGUUAAAACCAUCCUCAGUUUGCUGUAUGUGCUGUGUCCGUGAUGGACAGUGCCCGUGGAACCAUGCCCAAACUCGGCCCUCAUCCCCUGCUGGGCUGGCUAAUGCCUCAGGCUGGGCACGGGCCCGGCAGAGCUCCCAGCCCCAGCUGGCAUCGCCAUCCCACGCCUCACUUGGGCCCUGGACGUCACUGGAACCCUUUAACCAGCUGGCUGGGGCCACGUAUGGCUCGUGCAGAUGGAGAUGGCUCCUGCUCAGCAAAUCUGUGCUCUCACUGUCCCCCUCAUGCAAUUAGUAAAUUCAUUCACAUUUCAAUUACUUUA